rnacentral:rRNA from 1 species
UAGGCGGUUUAUUAAGUCUAAAAUUAAAGCCUGGGGCUUAACCUCAGUUCGUUUUAGAAACUGGUAGACUUGAGUAUGGUAGAGGUAAGUGGAAUUUCUAGUGUAGCGGUUAAAUGCGUAGAUAUUAGAAGGAACACCAGUGGCGAAGGCGGCUUACUGGGCCAUUACUGACGCUGAUGCACGAAAGCGUGGGGAGCAAAUAGGAUUAGAUACCCUAGUAGUCCACGCCGUAAACGAUGAUUACUAAGUGUCGGGAAACCGGUGCUGAAGCUAACGCAUUAAGUAAUCCACCUAAGUAGUACGGUCGCAAGACUGAAACUCAAAGGAAUUGACGGGCACCCGCACAAGCGGUGGAGCAUGCUGUUUAAUUCGAAGAUACGCGAAGAACCUUACCUAGACUUGACAUCCCCGGCAAAGCUAUAGAAAUAUAGUGGAGGUUACCCGGGUGACAGGUGGUGCAUGGUUGUCGUCAGCUCGUGUCGUGAGAUGUUCGGUUAAGUCCGAUAACGAGCGCAACCCUUAUCUUUAGUUGCUAACAUUUAGUUGAGUUCUCUAAAGAUACUGCCGGUGACAAACCGGAGGAAGGUGGGGAUGACGUCAAAUCAUCAUGCCCCUUACGUCUAGGGCAACAGGCGUGCUACAAUGGCUGGUACAAAAAGAUGCAAUACUGUGAGGUGGAGCAAAUCUAGAAAACCAGUCCCAGUUCGGAUUGGAGUCUGCAACUCGACUCCAUGAAGUUGGAAUCGCUAGUAAUCCUGGAUCAGAAUGCCAGGGUGAAUACGUUCCCGGGUGUUGUACACACCGCCCGUCACGCUAUGGGAGUUUGUAAUACCCGAAGUUGGUAGCCUAACCUUUUAGGAGGGGGCCAACGAAGGUAGGACAAGUAACUGGAGUGAAGUCGUAACAAGGUAACC